GAAAUGAUGAGCAGAGAGGAUGUGAAGAGGGGCAAGCAGAAAGCUUAUGAAAUGCUUGCGGGCCUUAGAGGACUUUCAUGAUUGGCUUGGGUAGGCAGUGACUAGACAGCCAGGAAGAUAAGAGACUGUAGGACAGAACUGGGGUUUGGGAAGACAGGAAUUGACCAUCCCCUCAUUCCUUCCUGAAGAGACAUAUGAGCGGCUUGAGGCUGACAAAAAGAAGCAGGUCCACAAGAAGCGGAAGUGCCCUGGGCCCAUAAUCACCUACCAUUCAGUGACAGUGCCACUAGUUGGGGAGCCAGGCCCUAAAGAAGAGAAUGUCGACGUAGAAGGACUUGAUCCUGCUCCCACAGCUUCUGCAGUGACUCCCCGUGCUGGGACUGGACCCGUCAUCCCUCCUGCUCGCUGCUCACGUACCUUCAUCACUUUUAGUGACGAUGCGACGUUUGAGGAAUGGUUUCCCCAAGGGCGGCCUCCAAAGGUCCCUGUUCAGGAGGUCUGCCCAGUGACCCAUCGCCCUGCCCUGUACCGGGACCCUGUUACAGACAUACCCUACGCCACUGCUCGAGCCUUCAAGAUCAUCCGUGAGGCCUACAAGAAGUACAUCACUGCCCACGGACUGCCGCCCACUGCUUCAGCCCUGGGCCCUGGCCCACCACCUCCUGAGCCCCUCCCUGGCUCUGGCCCCCGAGCCUUGCGCCAGAAAAUUGUCAUCAAAUGAAGGGAUGUCUAGUCCUUAGAAACCUCUUUCCUGUCCUAACUUGGGGCUCUUAAGUUAGGGCUGUUAAGAAGCCUGCUUCUCCCCUUUGUCAUCACUGAUCUUUGUCCAGCCCUUCUCUGUAUUUCUUUCCCUAUCUUUUCCCCUAGUUCCUACUGCUUUUGUUUGUGUUUUUUAAUCUAAUAAAAUAGAAAGAUCCCUU